AGCCAUUUCUAUAGCCUUGAGUAUCGUUCUUUUCGCUGAAAUUGGAAAAAUGAAAUACCGGAACUUAAUGGGAGUUUCCUCGAUGGUAACACCUGAUACCUGGAAGAAGAACACUGUCAACUGAAUUCACUUCCACUGACACUGUUUAUCUUUGACGCAAACCAUUAUAUUUUCAAUGUCGUGCAAUCCUGUAUAAUAACAACCACUAUAUAUUGUGUUCUAGAAGUCAUCACAUUUGUGUUUUCAUUACAUUUGUGUUUUCAUUACAUUUGUGUUUUAAUUACAUUUGUGUUUUAAUUACAUUUGUGUUUUUAUUACAUGUGUUUUUUUAAAAUAUAUUCUUCGGUUAUCACUGUAGAUUGCCCAAGGCAGUUGGAACACGUGCAAUAUUUAUUGUUUCUUUUUUUAGACAGACACCACCGCAGCAAAUAUUGUUUGAUUAACUCAUCUCAGUUUUGCAUAAUAAACAUCAUUGAUUGUG
rnacentral:misc_RNA from 1 species